ACAUUGGUUCACUGUCGUGGUUCUGCGGAUUUAAAUCCGUAGCUAAGAGGGAAUUCGGUCAAACGCCGGAGCUGCCCCCGCAACUGUAAGCGGUUAGCAAACGUCCAAUUUUGUCACUGGGUCUACCCCGGGAAGACGGACGAGAGCGAUUACCCGUGAGCCAGGAGACCUGCCACGUCAGAUAACGUUCA
rnacentral:ncRNA from 2 species